ACUGCUAUCGUUUCAAGGAGCUCAAAGAGUGCGAAUACAGCUGGAGAAAAACUACUUUGGUGCAGGAAUUCGUGUGUUUUUCCGCGCACCAUUGGGGGCCGCACCGGUCGGGUCCCGCGCGAUGCCCUGGCGUGAGUUUGGGGGCGCAGCGGGGCCCGGCGGGGGCGGCGAGCGCGCGUUCCCCCGCCCGCUCGGGCGGCGUCGAGGCGCGAGCAGCUCAGCCAGCCUUGCAGAGGGAGCUCUCGGCAGCUCAGGGGUCCCCUCUGCUCGCAGCCACAGCAGCGCCGCCUGCGACACUCGGAGGCGACGGAGACCGGCAGCGGGGACGAUCGGACUACGAGAGACUAGAGAGCACCCCAGCUGCUGGAGAAGCAACGCAGGGCGAUCGGGUACCAGAGGUAAAGGGGAUACAUAGCUAGGCACCAUCGCACCUAUAGUCCCAGCAUUCAGGAAGUGGAAGCCGGAAGAUGGCAGCUUCAAGGUCAACUUGAGCUAUAUAAUGAAGGCUUGCCUGAAACAAACCAACAAAAACAAGGAAAUGCAGGCUGAUCAGAGAGUAAUUGCUAGGCUCUGUGGCAGACUCGCUGAAUUCUCAGAUAACUCUUAGAACCAGCUUUGAAUUCAUGAGAAAGAAGAGUGUGAAACAAGAAGCAAAGAUCAGGUUGGAAGAGGGCAAGAGGGGGGGAUGGAAGGAAACCCUGCAGCCACCAACACAAUAAACUGUAUC